CGGAAGAUCGCAGUCGAGAGCAAUUGGAGUAAAGAAAAUAUACCAAGCCGGAAAAAGAAAUGUACCUUCAAAGUCUGAUCUUCUGUUUCCUCGCUUUCGAAAUUAUUCUGCAAAGUGGAGGUGAAAGCGUCAGCGAAAAAAAUCGGAAAAUGUCGAAAAGCUUUCAAGAGCCGCAAAGAACUGAAGAUUACUCCAAGAGGCUUCUUAAAAAAGAAGGAAUCCCAAAAAGGAACGGCGUGGAUCGUUGGAAAUAUCAAAAAGUGAUCUUUGGAGGAUCUCUGAAAACUGGAAAGCAAAUCCCGGGGAGGUUCAAGAAACGGCUAUAUUUUUUAAACAAGAAAAUUAAGAGAGAUCUCGACCGGUCUGAAGAAAUUUUGGCGAAUCCUGGUGCCGAGAUUUUCGAAAAACCUAAUGAUUACUCAAACCUCGUCGAUUUAGAUUAUCCAAGGUCCAUAGAACUCAGGAUCGAAAAUGCCGACCUGGAAGGAAAUUUAGGAGACGUCGAGACAGAGGAGUACAUCUCUCACUCUGAUAAAGGACAUGAUGAGCUUCUGUACGACUUCCUGGAGGACGAAUCCGACAAGAAGUCCUUCGAAGUAAAGAGUCACUUGUUCUCGCCCACCUCCGAGGAAACAAUCGAUUACUCGAUCUCCGGGCCAUUAUCGACGUAUCGCAUAAAAAAUCGUCAUCAAAGCAACAGGUGGAAAAAUCCCAGAAGGCGGAAACAAGAGCAAGAGGAGAGACAAACCCUGGAGAUCUUGACAUUUGUCGCAAAAGUACUGACCCAGACUAUUCGGUCCAUCGGAAACGAGACCAGCUCCAAAAAUCAGGAUCAUCGAGAAUCCACCCCAAGAUAUCCAAAUUUGCAUGCCAACCUGAGGAACAGAAUAGAAAAAAGGGUCACCAUAAAAAAUGUUCCCCCAGUCGGAAACGGGAACAACAGUUGGGCAAAGUUCUCGAUAGACCUGAACAUCGAGUCAAUGGACAGAAAUCCAGGAAAGAGAAUUACGGAAAAACGUGACAUCGAGACCAGCUCCAAAAAUCGGGAUCAUCAUCUAAAAUCCACCUCAGGAUAUCCAAAUUUGCAUGCCAACCUGAGGAACAAAGUGGAAAAAAGGAUCACCAUAAAAAAUGUUCCCCCAGUCGGAAACGGGAACAAUAGUUUGGCAAAGUUCUUGAUAGACCUGAACAUCGAGUCAAUGGACAGAAAUCCAGGAAAGAGAAUUACGGAAAAACGUGACAUCGAUGACGUUUUCCAGAAUCCCAUGCUGGACGACAUCACGGAAAAGCCAACAACAACAACGUCGUCAUCGAGGAUGAAAAGUGCUGAUGAGGCUGAGCUGCAGGUUGCAAGAUCGGAUGAAUCACCUCUUGGAAAUGAUUCGUUUAAGAUUGAGAGGCAUGAUGAUUUGGGCUAUUCAGGGAAAAUUGGAGUUGAUGGGAUAGGUCAUGACGAACGAUCUGAUCUGAUGGGAAGAGAAGUGGACCCCAUCAGGCCGGUUAGGACGAAGAUGGGGAUCAAUCGAACUUCUAAUGACGAGGCGAUGAUGAUUGACGUUGACGAACACGUCUCAAUGGGACCCAGUCAAAGCUUGACCGAAGAGUACCAGGAAAAAUGGCACAUCGAACUUCCGCCGUGGCCAUUUUUACCGGGACCCAUCACUUGCGAUGAUGGAGCUGUCAAAAGCGUCAAGUCGAGCUUUUAUGCUGAGCCUAAAGAAUUCAGACACGUGGUUUCCGUGCAAUACCAAUUCUCCCCCGAACGACCCCCCGAGCACAUUUGUGCAGGAGUUAUUUACGGCCCUAAACAUGUUCUUGUUGCUGCACACUGCAUACACAAUUUGUGUGACGACUACGGUUUGAUGGUCACCCAAACGAACAAUUUAUGCGAGAAGAACGGAUUUGUCAACGUGAAGGAAGUCAUCGAAAAUGAGUUCUACGACGAGGAAUUCAGAUCUAACGACAUCGCCAUUCUCAAACUGGAAAACGAAGUCACUCCCACCGCCAAACUUCCUGAUCUGUCUUCCGAAGGAAACCAGGGAUAUUUCUUCUCGAUCGGAUGGCGAGAAUUAUUGUGGAAUAGAUUUAAGAGGAACGCCACCAUGCUGCUGCAGAAGUUCCCCAUGGUGAGGCAUCCCAGGAAGACGAAGGAAAAACCGGGAACUCUUCACAUAGCUCCUGGGAAAUUGGAUUUAACUGGGACAUCUAGAGGCAACGAUGGAGGCAUACUUAUCAACCUCAAAGGACAACUUGUUGGGCUGCAAUCUUCUGUGAUUACUAAAUCCGAGGGCUAUGAGGUUUACACCAGGAUUAGAAGUUACCUCAACUGGAUUAACGUCGCGAUUAGAAACGGCAAUCACAAUUCCAGCUGAUACUCUGACAAAAUGUACAAAUUGUUAUCACGGAACGAAUAUGAAACUAACGACAGGAUUUGAAACCAGAAAUUUUGCACAAAUCAACCUGAACAGUUCUUUUCAAAAAUGAAAAGAUAUCCAUUAUUGCUGCUGCUUUUUACGGUGAAAAGAAGUUCAGCGAACGAAGCUGAAAUGGCGUUUAAUCAUCAACGAAAUUCUCUUUCUUCAAUUUUGGAGAAGAAUAAUCAAAUGGAAGAAAAAACCUCUACGGAACAAAUACACUCGACAAUUUCCAGUUCCAACCCGUACAAAACAAAUUUGUUGAGUUACUUGUUUACCGACAAGUGGCAUCAACAAAAGAACUUCAGGUGGCCGUUUGUAAAAAUCAGAAAAGAUUCCCUAGGAAAAUUGAAAAUAAGAAGAUUCGGCAUGAACUAACAAUAAAGGAGUGUCGAGCGUGAAGCUUAAAAUAAUUAAGAACGAAUGAAAAAAUUCCCCGAUGAAGUCAUGCCAUAAUUGUCAUUGCAAUUUCGAAAGGCUGCACACGCGAUAUAAAUAAUUAAGCAAUUUACGAUAAUAAUGAGGACAAUUUCCUUUCACCGGAAAGGAGUGAAGAAAAGUGGCAUUCAAUUUCCCGGCACCUUCUUAUCGGUACGAAGGUUCAAGAUAGCAAAAAAAUUGCAGUCAUUACGAUCGAUUAAAAUAAUUAAAUAGAAAAUUCGUCGGUAUCUAAAAUUCACGUUUUUAGCGUACAUCGAAAAUGACAUAUCGUUGGCCCUGAAAUUCACUUGAGCUACUUGCGCAUUGUUUCCUGGAUAGUUAUACAACCCAUUGCGCUACUUGUACGGUGCAAGACUCGUGAUAAGAAAACACGUCACCAGGUUAAUAGAGGACAUACAUGAAUAUUUCACUGAUGUCUUGUUUAAUGACACCUGAAUGUAUGGUGUAAUUCAUGGUACUCAAAAAUCUCGCACAUCUUGCAAUUAUGCCAAUAAUUAAUUUUAUUAAACUGCAGUUAAAAAAUCACUCCACCUACAAUUACUACCCACGUAACAAUUUCAACACUAUCUACGUAUAAAUAUUUAUAUGUACGCGCAUUUACACAGUCAUUAUUCCAACACGAUAAUUCCAAAUAAAUAGUCUAUAGUUUACAUUUGCGGGGACAUGAGAUUGCCCAAAAUUAUUUCCAGCAAUUAUUAUUGCCGUCAUCAGGACAUUUAAUUUAAAAUGCUCAUUACGAUAUGCUCGCCACGAUACGUUAAAAAAAAAAGGAGAAAAAAAAAUAGGCGACUGAUAAAAUCCGAGGAAAAGGUGGAGGGGCCGAAGUUUAAAACUCUACCCUCGGCUUUGUAUUUCUCGUAUUUGUUCCCGAACUGUGGACAAAGUCGUACGAUAUUAAUUGUUAAAUAUGGCCACCUUUAAAUACGCCUUAGUGAUUGUAUUGAUAACUGCUGCCACUUGGAUUUGUAAUGCCGAAGGACGAAGCACAAGUUUGCCGGAACAGAAUGAAGGAAGUAAUCCAGAUCAAGGAAAGGAGUUGGACCAAUUGAUGGAGAAGUUUCGAAACGGAAUGUCAACCAUGGGUAUUUCUAUACCUUCAGGAAUGCAACCUUCGAAAGUCAUACACUCCAUGGAAAAAGUACUCUUAUCAAUUCCCUCUGAUAUGAUGCAGUUCGUUGUGUCGGUCGUCAAAUUCGUAAUUCAACUGCCAAUGAAGAUCAUGAAAAACGUCAUAAAAGUUCCCGUGAAAUUGGUAUCUUGACGCAGAUAGGAAGGCCUCUCUUGGAGAAUGUCGCCAUUAACAUUAUGAACUUCAUGACUCCAAUUUUAUGGCGCUUCUUCACGUCCGCCAUUUUGCCAAAUUUGGACAAAUUCGGGAUGCUUUUGGUGGACAACCACGUAUUACCAGGAGAAGUAUCGACGAUUAUCAAAAAUUUUCACAUGUUGUACACGCUGGCGCGAGGAUUUUCAUUCCUGAUCUAAAUAUCUAUUUUUUUUUCAUUUCUGCCUCCACUUCAACAUACAGAAUUUUGCGUAAUCGAAAUUGUUUUUGACUUUGUAUCCAAUUUGGCGUAAUAUCAAUUUUCGGCGUAAUCGAAGUUUUCCGUUUUCGCGUACUCGGUGCUUCAACUUUUAAACGCGUUUUGAAAAUGAAACUUUAAUGAAAACAAUUAAAGUAGAGAAUAAUCGGCGACAUACCGACGAACAUAUAUAUUUAUUAUGGAAUGUAUUUAUUGUACACAUGUAUUUAUUAUGAAUUAAAGUGUACCACACGCUGCAA